CUACGGGGUGCAGCAGGUAGGAAUAAUCUACAAUGCACGCAAGUGUGAUAGUUUGAGCCAGAGUGUUUCUCAACGAGAAACUUUUUUGGAAUGUAAAAAGUUCCAAGAAUAAGGACUGGGUAAGACGAGUGCCAGCCGCCGCGGUAAUACUCGCGGUCCAAGUCGCAGCCAUUUUUAUUGGGUCUAAAGCAUCCGUAGCUUGCUUGACAAGUUCUCUGUGAAAUUUUGUAUCUUAAGUACAAAGCGGGCAGAGAAUACUAUCGAGCUAGAGACCGGAAGACGUAAGAAGUACAUUCAGAGUAGCGGUUAAAUGUGUUAAUCCUGAAUGGACUAACAAGAGCGAAGGCAUCUUACGAGGACGGUUCUGACAGUAAGGGAUGAAGGCUAGGGGCGCAAAACGGAUUAGAUACCCUAGUAGUC
rnacentral:rRNA from 1 species